rnacentral:rRNA from 1 species
CCCUUAGAUGUCCUGGGCCGCACGCGCGCUACAAUGACAUGUGCAACAAGUUUUUUCCUGACUCGGAAGGGUUCGGGUAAUCUUGAUAAUGCAUGUCGUGUUAGGGAUAGAUCUUUGCAAUUAUGGAUCUUGAACGAGGAAUUCCUAGUAAGUGCAAGUCAUCAGCUUGUACUGAUUACGUCCCUGCCCUUUGUACACACCGCCCGUCGCUGCUACCGAUUUCGAGUGGUCCGGUGAACCUUCUAGACUGCGAGUCAAAUUGCGGAAAGUUAAGUAAACCUUAUCACUUAGAGGAAGCAGAAGUCGUAACA